rnacentral:rRNA from 1 species
UACGUAGGUGGCAAGCGUUGUCCGGAUUUACUGGGCGUAAAGAGCGCGCAGGCGGUCGAAUAAGUCGAAUGUGAAAGCCCCCGGCUCAACUGGGGAGGGUCAUUCGAUACUGCUCGACUUGAAGGCAGGAGAGGGUAGUGGAAUUCCCGGUGUAGUGGUGAAAUGCGUAGAUAUCGGGAGGAACACCAGUGGCGAAGGCGACUACCUGGCCUGUUCUUGACGCUGAGGAGCGAAAGCGUGGGGAGCGAACAGG